GACGAACGCUGGCGGCGUGCCUAACACAUGCAAGUCGAACGGAGAUACGAUUUCGGUUGUAUCUUAGUGGCGAACGGGUGAGUAACGCGUGAGCAACCUGACUCUUAGAGGGGGAUAACACUGGGAAACGAGUGCUAAUACCGCAUAAGACCACGACAUGGCAUCAUGACGAGGUCAAAGGAGCAAUCCGCUGAGAGAGGGGCUCGCGUCCCAUUAGAUAGAUGGCGGGGUAACGGCCCACCAUGUCAACGAUGGGUAGCCGAGCUGAGAGGCUGAUCGGCCACACUGGAACUGAGACACGGUCCAGACUCCUACGGGAGGCAGCAGUGGGGAAUAUUGGGCAAUGGGCGCAAGCCUGACCCAGCAACGCCGCGUGAGGGAAGAAGGCUUUCGGGUUGUAAACCUCUGUCCUUGGUGACGAAAAAAAUGACGGUAGCCAAGGAGGAAGCCCCGGCUAACUACGUGCCAGCAGCCGCCGUAA
rnacentral:rRNA from 1 species